UACGGAGGGGGGCUAGCGUUGUUCGGAAUUACUGGGCGUAAAGCGCACGUAGGCGGCUUUGUAAGUUAGAGGUGAAAGCCCAGGGCUUAACCCUGGAAUUUGCCUUUAAGACUGCAUCGCUAGAAUCGUGGAGAGGUGAGUGGAAUUCCGAGUGUAGAGGUGAAAUUCGUAGAUAUUCGGAAGAACACCAGUGGCGAAGGCGACUCACUGGACACGAUUGACGCUGAGGUGCGAAAGCGUGGGGAGCAACAGG
rnacentral:rRNA from 1 species